GCCAUUUUGCUGCUCAUCAUAUUGCCAAGAAGCCAUAUCAUCAGCUUUUUCACAUUGCUUUAAUUGACUCACAUCUAGUAGCACCUGAACUUUGCCAGGAGGGAAGACUGUGAAGACUGUAAAACCUCUGGUCUUCAUUUUGCAGCACUGAGAGGUGGCUUGUUCCUUGAGAGUCAACUGUUUUCAUGCUAAAAACACUGGAUUGUCAAACUGUCAAAGUAACAGGCAUAUUGUGAAAAAGGAGUUGCUGGAGAAAGAUCCUUUGCUUUUUUGCAGUCACUGCUGAAGAAGGCUCUGAAUUUUGAAAGCAGCUUCAGAAAAGAACUUUACAAAAAGUAUAGGAAGUUCCCAACUACCUGACACUUAAUGCUGUGAAACUACUGCUGAGUUCUAAAAUGCAAGCCAACAUCCCAAAUCAAAGCCAAGAUAUGAGUACUACCUGCCUGCCAGGUAUGAAAUUCUAUACUGCGGUGACAGUGUUUCUAAUCAAGAAUUGUUGGACUAAAGAAGCAUCUCCCAUAUUCUCUCCCCCAUUGAGACACUGAAUGGCUGCUCUCAGAUCUCCCCAGAGCCUUCUCCAAGUUGAACAGCCCCAGCUCUCUCAGUCUGUUCUCAUAGGAGAUGUGUUUCAUCCGUUGGAACAUUUGUGUCCCUCCUCUGUUUGUGCACCAACAGGUCCAUGUCUCUCCUGUACUGAGGACUCCACAGUUGGAUGCAGUACUCCAGGUAAGGUCUCACCAGCACAGAGCAAAAGGGCAGGA